CAAGUCGAGGGGUAACAGGGAGCUUGCUCCGCUGACGACCGGCGCACGGGUGCGCACCGCGUAUGGAACCUACCUUGUACAGGGGAAUAGCCCAGGGAAACUUGGAUUAAUGCCCCGUGGUACCAUGACCCGGCAUCGGGAUAUGGUUAAAGCCUUCGGGCGGUACAAGAUGGCCAUGCGUCCCAUUAGUUUGUUGGUAAGGUAACGGCUUACCAAGACUACGAUGGGUAGGGGCCCUGAGAGGGGGAUCCCCCACACUGGUACUGAGACACGGACCAGACUCCUACGGGAGGCAGCAGUGAGGAAUAUUGGACAAUGGAGGAGACUCUGAUCCAGCCAUGCCGCGUGCAGGAAGAAUGCCCUAUGGGUAGUAAACUGCUUUUAUACGGGAAGAAAAAGAGCUACGUGUAGCUUACUGACGGUACCGUAAGAAUAAGGACCGGCUAACUCCGUGCCAGCAGCCGCGGUAAUACGGAGGGUCCGAGCGUUAUCCGGAAUUAUUGGGUUUAAAGGGUCCGUAGGCGGGCCGAUAAGUCAGGGGUGAAAGUCUGCCGCUCAACGGUAGAACUGCCUUUGAUACUGUCGGUCUUGAGUUAUAGUGAAGUUGCCGGAAUAUGUAGUGUAGCGGUGAAAUGCAUAGAUAUUACAUAGAACACCGAUUGCGAAGGCAGGUGACUAACUAUAUACUGACGCUGAUGGACGAAAGCGUGGGGAGCGAACAGGAUUAGAUACCCUGGUAGUCCACGCCGUAAACGAUGGAUACUAGCUGUCCGGAACCUUGAGUUCUGGGCGGCCAAGCGAAAGUGAUAAGUAUCCCACCUGGGGAGUACGUUCGCAAGAAUGAAACUCAAAGGAAUUGACGGGGGCCCGCACAAGCGGUGCAGCAUGUGUUUAAUUCGAUGAUACGCGAGGAACCUUACCAGGGCUUAAGAUGCAUAUUGACAGGUCUAGAGAUAGAUUUUUCCUUCGGC
rnacentral:rRNA from 1 species